rnacentral:rRNA from 1 species
GUCCAGACUCCUACGGGAGGCAGCAGUGGGGAAUAUUGCGCAAUGGGGGAAACCCUGAUGCAGCAACGCCGCGUGAGUGAAGAAGUAUUUCGGUAUGUAAAGCUCUAUCAGCAGGGAAGAAAAUGACGGUACCUGAGUAAGAAGCCCCGGCUAACUACGUGCCAGCAGCCGCGGUAAUACGUAUGGAGCAAGCGUUAUCCGGAAUUACUGGGUGUAAAGGGAGCGUAGACGGAUGUGCAAGUCUGAUGUGAAAGGCGGGGGCUCAACCCCUGGACUGCAUUGGAAACUGUAAAUCUUGAGUGCCGGAGAGGUAAGCGGAAUUCCUAGUGUAGCGGUGAAAUGCGUAGAUAUUAGGAGGAACACCAGUGGCGAAGGCGGCUUACUGGACGGUAACUGACGUUGAGGCUCGAAAGCGUGGGGAGCAAACAGGAUUAGAUACCCUUGUAC